GUUGCUGGGUGUAGACCCGAAACCGAGUGAUCUAUCCAUGGCCAGGUUGAAGGUGCCGUAACAGGUACUGGAGGACCGAACCCACGCAUGUUGCAAAAUGCGGGGAUGAGCUGUGGAUAGGGGUGAAAGGCUAAACAAACUCGGAGAUAGCUGGUUCUCCCCGAAAACUAUUUAGGUAGUGCCUCGAGCAAGACACUGAUGGGGGUAAAGCACUGUUAUGGCUAGGGGGUUAUUGCAACUUACCAACCCAUGGCAAACUAAGAAUACCAUCAAGUGGUUCCUCGGGAGACAGACAGCGGGUGCUAACGUCCGUUGUCAAGAGGGAAACAACCCAGACCGCCAGCUAAGGUCCCAAAUGAUAGAUUAAGUGGUAAACGAAGUGGGAAGGCCCAGACAGCCAGGAUGUUGGCUUAGAAGCAGCCAUCAUUUAAAGAAAGCGUAAUAGCUCACUGGUCGAGUCGUCCUGCGCGGAAGAUGUAACGGGGCUCAAAUCUAUAACCGAAGCUGCGGAUGCCGGUUUACUGGCAUGGUAGGGGAGCGUUCUGUAGGCCGAUGAAGGUGCAUUGUAAAGUGUGCUGGAGGUAUCAGAAGUGCGAAUGUUGACAUGAGUAGCGAUAAAGCGGGUGAAAAGCCCGCUCGCCGAAAGCCCAAGGUUUCCUACGCAACGUUCAUCGGCGUAGGGUGAGUCGGCCCCUAAGGCGAGGCAGAAAUGCGUAGUCGAUGGGAAACAGGUUAAUAUUCCUGUACUUGAUUCAAAUGCGAUGUGGGGACGGAGAAGGUUAGGUUGGCAAGCUGUUGGAAUAGCUUGUUUAAGCCGGUAGGUGGAAGACUUAGGCAAAUCCGGGUCUUCUUAACACCGAGAAGUGAUGACGAGUGUCUACGGACAUGAAGUAACCGAUACCACGCUUCCAGGAAAAGCCACUAAGCUUCAGUUUGAAUCGAACCGUACCGCAAACCGACACAGGUGGGCAGGAUGAGAAUUCUAAGGCGCUUGAGAGAACUCGGGAGAAGGAACUCGGCAAAUUGAUACCGUAACUUCGGGAGAAGGUAUGCCCUCUAAGGUUAAGGACUUGCUCCGUAAGCCCUGGAGGGUCGCAGAGAAUAGGUGGCUGCGACUGUUUAUUAAAAACACAGCACUCUGCUAACACGAAAGUGGACGUAUAGGGUGUGACGCCUGCCCGGUGCUGGAAGGUUAAUUGAAGAUGUGCAAGCAUCGGAUCGAAGCCCCAGUAAACGGCGGCCGUAACUAUAACGGUCCUAAGGUAGCGAAAUUCCUUGUCGGGUAAGUUCCGACCCGCACGAAUGGCGUAACGAUGGCCACACUGUCUCCUCCCGAGACUCAGCGAAGUUGAAGUGGUUGUGAAGAUGCAAUCUACCCGCUGCUAGACGGAAAGACCCCGUGAACCUUUACUGUAGCUUUGCAUUGGACUUUGAAGUCACUUGUGUAGGAUAGGUGGGAGGCUUUGAAGCAGAGACGCCAGUCUCUGUGGAGCCGUCCUUGAAAUACCACCCUGGUGUCUUUGAGGUUCUAACCCAGACCCGUAAUCCGGGUCGGGGACCGUGCAUGGUAGGCAGUUUGACUGGGGCGGUCUCCUCCCAAAGAGUAACGGAGGAGUUCGAAGGUUACCUAGGUCCGGUCGGAAAUCGGACUGAUAGUGCAAUGGCAAAAGGUAGCUUAACUGCGAGACCGACAAGUCGAGCAGGUGCGAAAGCAGGACAUAGUGAUCCGGUGGUUCUGUAUGGAAGGGCCAUCGCUCAACGGAUAAAAGGUACUCCGGGGAUAACAGGCUGAUUCCGCCCAAGAGUUCAUAUCGACGGCGGAGUUUGGCACCUCGAUGUCGGCUCAUCACAUCCUGGGGCUGUAGUCGGUCCCAAGGGUAUGGCUGUUCGCCAUUUAAAGUGGUACGUGAGCUGGGUUUAAAACGUCGUGAGACAGUUUGGUCCCUAUCUGCAGUGGGCGUUGGAAGUUUGACAGGGGCUGCUCCUAGUACGAGAGGACCGGAGUGGACGAACCUCUGGUGUACCGGUUGUAACGCCAGUUGCAUAGCCGGGUAGCUAAGUUCGGAAGAGAUAAGCGCUGAAAGCAUCUAAGCGCGAAACUCGCCUGAAGAUGAGACUUCCCUUGCGGUUUAACCGCACUAAAGAGUCGUUCGAGACCAGGACGUUGAUAGGUGGGGUGUGGAAGCGCGGUAACGCGUGAAGCUAACCCAUACUAAUUGCUCGUGAGGCUUGACU
rnacentral:rRNA from 1 species